rnacentral:rRNA from 1 species
AUGAACGCUGGCGGCGUGCCUAAUACAUGCAAGUCGAGCGAACGGACGAGAAGCUUGCUUCUCUGAUGUUAGCGGCGGACGGGUGAGUAACACGUGGAUAACCUACCUAUAAGACUGGGAUAACUUCGGGAAACCGGAGCUAAUACCGGAUGAUAUUUUGAACCGCAUGGUUCAAAAGUGAAAGACGGUCUUGCUGUCACUUAUAGAUGGAUCCGCGCUGCAUUAGCUAGUUGGUAAGGUAACGGCUUACCAAGGCAACGAUGCAUAGCCGACCUGAGAGGGUGAUCGGCCACACUGGAACUGAGACACGGUCCAGACUCCUACGGGAGGCAGCAGUAGGGAAUCUUCCGCAAAGGGCGAAAGCCUGACGGAGCAACGCCGCGUGAGUGAUGAAGGUCUUCGGAUCGUAAAGCUCUGUUAUUAGGGAAGAACAUAUGUGUAAGUAACUGUGCACAUCUUGACGGUACCUAAUCAGAAAGCCACGGCUAACUACGUG